GGAAAGAAAGAAACAAAAAUCAGGAAGAAAGGAGACGGAAGGUUUGCGUACUUGUAGGCGGGCAGAAAGGUCGUGUGGAUUGAAAAAUGGUUGGCCUGAUUGACUCUUUCCUUUCCUCCUUUCAAAUGCAUGUGCUGAAGAAGAGAAGAGAGCGAAAGGGAGAAGGAGGAAUGCAUAACUUGAUUUUAUUCAUGUUAGGAGAGAGGGAGGAGAAGAGAGGCUGGUUGAGCAUUUUAAAAAACCGAAAAGAAAAGAAGAGGGAUUUUCCUUUUCCUUUCUCUC
rnacentral:ribozyme from 11 species